AAGGCGAAUGAUUAUUGUUGGCUCCGUUUUGGGUUCGCUUAUGCGCAUCAUAGCGCAUGACAAAACACAACAACAAUCCCGGCAUUACAAUAUCGCCCAAACCGAGCAUAGAAAAUCGACCAACAUCUUGAAAGCUGGGAAACAUCAACUUGGCGGGCAGUGAUAAUUUCGGUGGUUCACUGUUGGUGGAUAUGAAUGGCACAUUUUUCGAUAAAUAUGAUAUAGGAUUUUCUGCAGUUUUGGUCGCCACAUACACCAUCACGUUAGUGUUGAAUAUGUACGUGGAAAAGAAUACCCAAAAAACAUCAUAAAGCAAAAGACCAGUCAAAAGAAGUGUAGAAACUUUAAGACUGGGCAGUCGAAUCAAUGCUAUGAACGCAACACAAAGACCCAUCGCGAGAGCAUCCAUCAAUAGCCAGUGACCCGUAAUGAUCCACAGAAACACGGACCAAGGAGUUCAGUAGGCACGCGAGUCGUUGACGUUUUCCAUUGAACAGUCGAAGGCGAAAUGAAAGUGUUCAUGAAAAUGAACAGUACUUUUUUAUGGAGUGCUGUUCGCUUUCAACAUGAUCGUCCUUGUUUGUGCUUAAUUGUGCAAAAUUGAUGUAUGGGGACGCGCAGUGUGGUGCCGUUGAAUAGUCGCACUGUUCUUUCUUUCUCUUCGGGGUUGGAGGAACAAUUGUCGAUCAGUCGGUUUCGGAGCGUGCACACUGGUACCCGAAAGAUGGUGAACUAUGCUUGAGCAGAAUGAAGCCAGAGGAAACUCUGGUGGAAGUUCGUAGCGGUGUUGACGUGCAAAUCACUCGUCUGACUUGAGUGUAGGGGCGAAAGACUAAUCGAACCAUCUAGUUGCUGGUUCCUUCCGAAGUUUCCCUCAGGAUAGCUGGCAUUUGUUUGUAACAAUUUUAUCCGGUAGAGCGAAUGAUUAGAGGUGUUGGGAACGCAAUGUUCUCAGCCUAUUCUCAAACUUCGAAUGGGUAAGCAAGGCGUUUUGCUUUGAUUUUACGAUGAAAUCGCCCAAUUAGAAUGUAUAAAUGCCUAGUGGGCCAAUUUUGGUAAGCAGAACUGGCGAUGUGGAAUGAACCAAAAGUCAGGUUAAGGUGCCAGACAUUGGCGCUCAUGAAAUACCAGAAAAGGUGUUGGUCGAUAUAGACAGCAGGACGGUGGCCAUGGAAGUUGGAAUCCGCCAAGGAGUGUGUAACAACUCACCUGCCGAAUCGACUAGCCCUGAAAAUGGAUAGCGUUUGAGCGCCAGGCCCAUACCUGACCGUCUCAAUUACGCACUUUUUUUUCGGAAAAGGUGUAAUGAACGUUGAGACGGGUAGGAAGGUCGCGACAGUGUUGCUUUGAAGAGUUUUGAGCGUGAGCUCGCUCGGAGCCGCUGUUGGUGCAGAUCUUGGUGGUAGUAGCAAAUAUUCAAGUGAGAACCUUGAAGGCUGAAGUGGAGCAAGGUUCCAUGUGAACAGCAGUUGGACAUGGGUCAGUCGAUCCUAAGAAAACGGCGAAAGCUUGUUCGAAUUUGCGACAUGAAUUGUAAGACUGUGUGAAUUGUGUGUGUGUGCAGUUGUCGUAUGUUUUCGAAAGGGAAUCCGGUUGAUAUUCCGGAACCGAGUAACGGAGACAAAGAGUAGCGCUUUAAUCUCUCUGUGGGGUUGGCGUUCAACUCAAUCGCGCGGUAACGCAAGCGAACUCGGAAAAUGACCGUCGUGAGUUUCGAAAAGAGUUUUCUUUUCUUUUUAAGGGACGCAUUCCCUGGAACCGGGUUGUCCGGAGAUAGGGAUUCUGGUAUCCAUAAAACGCCGACUUUUUCACGGUGUUCGGAGCGCUCUCGUCGGUACGUGAAAAUCCGAGCGACGCCUGGUAAAUCUCGUACUUGGUCGUACUGAUAUCCGCAGCAGGUCUCCAAGGUGAAUAGCCUCUGGCCGAUAGAAUAAUGUAGGUAAGGGAAGUCGGCAAAACGGAUCCGUAACUUCGGAACAAGGAUUGGCUCUAAGGGCUGGGCCGAUCGGGCUGAGGUUUCAAGCGUGCAGUGUAUGCUUGGCUGAGUUGUGUUGAGGACUUGUUCACUUGCCGCCGUUUGUUCGGUUGGUCUAGUGUAUUCGAGUCUGAAGCAGAGCUGGCCGACAGACCGGCACGUGCAGAACCUGAGCUGCGCGGCUGUCCGUUUACGUGUACAGACCGUUUCGGUCGGCAUUCAACAGCCAACUUAGAACUGGCACGGACACAAGGAAUCUGACUGUAUAAUUAAAACAAAGCAUUGCGAUGGCCGAUGAUCGGUGAUGACGCAAUGUGAUUUCUGCCCAGUGCUCUGAAUGUCAAAGUGAAGAAAUUCAAUCAAGCGCGGGUAAACGGCGGGAGUAACUAUGACUCUCUUAAGGUAGCCAAAUGCCUCGUCAUCUAAUUAGUGACGCGUAUGAAUGGAUCAACAAGAUUCCUUCUGUCCCUAUCUACUAUCUAGCGAAACCACAGCCAAGGGAACGGGCUUGGCAAAAUCAGCGGG
rnacentral:rRNA from 1 species